GGCGCUGUGGCGGAGUGGUUAACGCGUAUGUGCCGUCCAAAACUUGCAAAUAGUUUGUAACUAACACUUAUCCAGGAUGCCCUGCUAAGAUCAUUGAUCAAGCAGUUUCAGGCAUUUCCUUCGGGGUAUGUGGUGUCACUCUGCAUUGUGUUUCGUCACUAACAAAAUUAUAGAGCGUAAGUCUUCACUGUCCAAACGUACCCGGUCAUUGUUAAUAGUAAACAGAAGAGUUCGAAUCUCUUCGGCGUCG